ACCCGCUAAAGACUAAAGGAAAUAAGCAGGCACUUGAGGAUUUACGUGUAAUUUGGUUUUAAAUGAACAUCUUGUGCAGAAGAAGAGGCAAUUUGGCACCUGCUGCUGCGCCUACCGUAGUGCCUUAGCCUCCUCAGCCGUCCACCAUCUUCAAGUCUCCACCUCAGCUCGCUCCUUCCAACCUCCCAUGAGUCAAACGGAAUCCGCUGCACCUCGGACAAGCUGGCAGAGCCUGGGAGUGGAGAGCAGCUUGAACUGUCAGGGAAGAUCAGCGGUGAGGAAUCUUGCCUUUCAGACUUCAGGCUGCAGAGUGGGAGUCAUUAACAUUGGAAAAUGGAAUCGAUGACCACAGAACGGAACAGAGGACCUCAGCGUAUCUGCAUGUAACAUCACGCGAUUACUGUGGUCCAUGUGUUGGGGAAGAGUACUCAUUGGCUUCGAAGGAUCCUCAUGUUGGACAUGGGGUAGUCAUUCCUGCAGGAACAGGGGCAGAUUUGUUACAGUGAAGGAGUGUGUACAGGUUAAAGGAAGGACAUGGACCAGACAGAGAACACAUAGGCUCCAAAGAAAAGCUACACGGGACCACAUGGUUCAGACUGCGACAUUUGUAAGUUUUCCUCAGGAGCUGCUUUCCAGGAGAGCUUGGAGCUCCCCUCCUCUCAUUCUGUCCCAUGAACAUCCUGCUCCAUCUGCUGCAGAAAUCCUUCCCUUACGUGCCCCACUCACCAUUUCUGUCUGGACUGGAAAUGUGAGCUAACUCGUCUCCCCUUGCGUUUUGGGAGAUUGUACUUCUUCAGUCAUUCAUGCAAUGAUCAAGUUUGACUUGAGACUCAUUUCUACUUGUUGGGGAGAGGUUGAAGAUUUUGAAUCUGUCUUCUAUGUGUUAGUCCUGCAGAUGUUUCAAGGCAGACUUGACAAUUUUAAUCCUCUUGCCCCCAGACUGAGCAUGCCCAGUUUGGUAUCAAGGUUGUUACUACCAGUCAUAUUGGUGUCAUUUGUAGGUCACAUUUGAGUGAAGGGCAGAACUUUGAGCAUUGGCUAUUUGCCAGCUCAAUCCCCUUCAACAUUAUCAAGUCUCAUGUUCAACCUGUGAGCUGAAAAUGCUUUUGUUUUAUGAAAGAGGAAAAAAUAAAGAAACUUGUGAGGUGUAGAGAUUAGGCCAAGGUCAUGUAGUUAGAAAUGAACAGAAGUGGUACAUUAACCUUUUAUCAAAGACAUGUUCUGUUCUCCUGGAAUGUCACCAGGGCUUUGACAAUAGUGAACCCAAGGUACAGGCAUGUCAUCUCUAACUAAACAUGAUUUUUAUCUCUACAGUCUCAUGUCUUGUUUGCUAGAAACUUCUCCCUCUCCCAUCUCCCUCUCCCUCUCCUUUUCCUGAUUGUAUAUAGAUUGUAAGAACAUAGGUUUUUACAUUUUAGA